ACUUGCUCUGUAGACUAGGCUGGCCUUGAACUCAGAGAUCUGACUGCUUCUACCUAGGAUUAAAGGUAUGCACCACCACCACCAGAUGCUCACGGGGCUUUUAAAGAUCCAGAUCAUGGGGCAGGGGAGAGGUAGCUCAGCUGGCAAAGUGUUUGCUGAGAGCAAGCAUGGGGAGCCCUGGGGAGUCUGAUUUCUAAUAUCCAUGUGAGAAAAGCCAGGUGUGUUGGUUGGUGGAUGCUUAUAAAGCGUAGGGAGGUAGAGUUAAGAGGAUCCCUGGGGCUCCUGGCCUAACCAGCGGACCCAGAGAGAGAAGCUAUCACAAAAACACAAGGUGGGUGGUUCCUAAGAAUGACACCCCCCCACACACACAGGUACACACAUGCAUGUGCACCUGCAUGCACUAAUGUGUGCCCUGAUGUCAGUACAUGCACACACACACACACACACUCACACGUUUGAGACAAGGUCUCACAAUGUUGCCUUGGCUGACCUGGAACUUGCUUUGUGGUCUCUAACUCAUGCAGACCAGGUUAGUCCUAACUAAUAGAGCUCUGUCUGUGUCUCCCGAGGUGCAUACCACCACAUCUGCCUGGUGCUCCUUUGAGAUUUUCUUACAGGUGGUCUGGAGGUGAGACUAGGAAUCUGCAUUUUUGAAACAUCUCAUUUCAAAUACAGGGACUGACUCUGGAAGGGAAAACGGGUGCCUUUCCUGUGCGAGGAGUCACACUCUGCAGUGCAGCAGCUGGAUUGCAAUGCUUGUCUGUGUGUGAGCGAGCGAGUCACCUGUACCAACAGCAGACUCCUCCCCACACAAUGCAAAGUCUCCAAGCUGUUAGCUUCAUCUGGCUUUUGCGAGGAUACCAUGCAAUGCCACACUGGAGGCUGGGCACUGUGCCUGACCCAUCGAGCAUCCUACAUGGGAGUGCUAGGCGUAAUUCUGAGAAAUGUGUCAUGGCAGAAGCCAGAGAUCCAUGUCUAUGUUGUUCAGCACUAGGAGACAAGUCUCAGGAAAGCAGAAAGCACCAACCCUUUCACUUGUUCUCCACCUGUGCAGCUUUCCCUAGGUGUAAGUUUGGUGACUCCUCUGCCUUUGAUUUCUAGGACUUGAAGAGAAAUGACAAUCCCUUGCUGCUGCAUGUAAUUGGUGAGAAGCACACAGACCUGGAAUUAUAAUUAUGACGUUUUAAAUGCCAAGCUCUUCAGAAGUCUGACUUUGCCCUUGCUGUCACCCUGAACCCAAACCCUGCCUCCCACACCCUGAGCAUGCCCCCGAGUCUCUCGGCCAAGCUUCACCUGGGAAAUCUGAGUGACAGGUGACAUGCAGGCAGCUGGAAGACGCACAGUAAACGGAGCCUACGAUGAGCUCAGAAGAGUG
rnacentral:lncRNA from 1 species